AGACUUGUGCCAUAGUGGUUUGAGUAUCAGACUACAACUCUGGAAACCAGGGUUUGAUUCUCUGCUUGGCCA